AGAUAAGGAAAAAAAGCUUAAUCAGCAACAUUUUAUAUUGGCAAAUUUCCAAUGAAGUUAUUUACAUAAAGUUAUUGGCAAAUAAAAAUAGAAAAUGACAUCAUAGUCAUGUCUGGCAAAUUUCCAACAUAUAUUAUCAACUACUAUUCUAUACAAAGAAAGAUAACUCCAAUUGAAAAUUAAUUGCUAUUGCACAAUAUUGU
rnacentral:lncRNA from 1 species